UACGUAGGGAGCAAGCGUUGUCCGGAUUUAUUGGGCGUAAAGAGCUCGUAGGCGGUUCGGUAAGUCGGGUGUGAAAACUCUAGGCUCAACCUGGAGAGGCCACCCGAUACUGCUGUGACUUGAGUCUGGUAGGGGAGCACGGAAUUCCUGGUGUAGCGGUGAAAUGCGCAGAUAUCAGGAGGAACACCGGUGGCGAAGGCGGGUCUCUGGGCAGUAACUGACGCUGAGGAGCGAAGCGUGGGGAGCAAACAGG
rnacentral:rRNA from 1 species